AUUCUAACAACUUAAUAGGAAUUUAUUAAACUUAAAACAUGUUUAUUAGUCCGAGUCCACAACGGAGGCGUGUGACGGAUUUGCUCGAGAAUCGAGAAUCGAGACUCGAGCUAAUAAUAUGAUUUUUCCUGAUUUACGUACCUGAGAUUCUGGGGAGCUUCUGUCUAGGCAUGGUGGUUUCUCGAAGUUUAGAGGUCUGGAAAUUGGGCACUGUUAACUACUUAAAAGCUCUUAAGCUGCGAGAGAAGUUUUCCUCUGAUAGGAAAGUUAAUAAGAUUUCAGAUACUCUCUUGUCCCUGCAACAUCCCCCGACGUAUACAGUUGGCAAUCGGAGGACAGUUCACAAUUUACUGAUUCCUGAAUCUGAGCUGAGGAAUAUAGGAGCUAAACUUCACUACACACGAAGAGGAGGAGACAUUACUUUCCAUGGUCCACAUCAAGCCAUCUUGUAUCCCAUUAUUUCUCUUCGAGAUAUCAGACUUGGUCUUCGGGAUUAUGUUGGGAAACUUGAGUUAACCAUGGUUGAAUUGGCGUCUUUGUAUGGGGUGAAGGCUUGUGCUGGAGAGAGUGGUGAAAUGGGAGUUUGGGUGGAAGAUAGAAAGAUCGGCGCUACUGGAGUUUGUUUCUCACAUGGGAUCACUUCUCACGGAUUGGCAUUCAACAUUGAUCCUGAUAUGAACUAUUUUAAGAACAUUGUGCCUUGUGGGAUUAUGGAUAAGGAAGUUACAUCUUUGAGAAGGGAGACCAGUAUUUUGCUUCCUGCUGACGAAGUAAUUCAUGAGCAGUUGAUUACUUGUUUUGCUAGAGUAUUGGGUUAUACUGAUAUUACUUGGAAGGAGAAUCCUUUGACAUUGUCAGACAAUGCAGAAGUUGAACAAGAUAUGAAUUCUUCAGCAUCAUAAAGGAUGUGAAUUGCUGAAUGAAAUGUGACACUAUAUGCCAGCUACAAAAUAAAUACUGCGAUGGACUCGAUUGGGCUAAACUCCAAUAACUUUAGAUUCAGGAUCAGAGAUUUCAAUGAGUAAAAAUCUCAGUGAUUUUUCCACAACGAAAGAAUCCCCAACCAAGUAAUGCUGAUGUCCUGUUAUCUAUACUCGUGAAUAGAAGUUGAUGACCACAUGAGACUCAUGGAGAUGAUUCAGUAGAUUAUAUCUUCCACUUCAACUGCUUUGAGGAUUGAAGCUAUUUAUGUUGAAUGUUGCAACAGAAGAUAGGAUCUGUCCACACAUUUACAGCAAAGUCAAAAAGGUAUGGGUUGUAAGUCUUGGAAUCUCCCUUAUCAACAUCCCCUAAAGUGGAAGUAUACAGAAAUUAUACGGAGUUGGUAGUUGUUACCCAUUACAUAAAAUUUUCCAGCUAAGUGUGAAUGUGCAUACACAUUUGUCAAACGAUUUGAGUCCAGAUUUGUGGUCCUUACUGCAUAAAAAUAGCGAAUUUUUCUUGCUUGUGUUAUCGUGA